rnacentral:rRNA from 1 species
UCCGUUUCCGUUCCAUUUUCAUCCCUACUCACUCCCAAGGAGAGUGGCAGACGGUGGCGGCGGCCCAGAUCUGCGUCCUCUCUCGAGCAACUCGACUGCGGCAAGUCGGUGUUGGCAUCCUCGCCUCCUCCCCAUCUCUGGCUCUAGGAGCAGCUCGCAGGUAUACUCCCUUGAGAUCCGUACUCCCUUACUCCUACCACUCAUGAUCCGGAUCCAGCAGUAGCUCCGGUGGCGGGCUCCUAAACUCCUUCCCCUCUCAAGUUCAACAGCAAGCUAGAGAUCCCACAAUACAAGAUUUUAAUUUAUGCUGGUUUGCCAUGCUUGAGUCUUCAGUACCUCUGGAGACGCCUCAUACCUGUUAGAAUAUAGAUGAAAAGACCGGAGUAUCCUUUUUGGGAAUAAAAGAUUAUUCAAUGGUGUGGUCCUUCCCAGCAAGAAGCACUACAACUGGAGGUAGAAGCUAGAGCUCUUUUUUCAUGUACGUCAAGAAAUCAAAAGUUGAUGCAAAUUUUGACAGCAAUGUGUGUUCAAGAGUGAUCACCUUCAUACUCGGUCUUGUUGGUCAUGGACUAAAAAUUAUCAUGUUAUGUUAUGUGUAAACUUGAUAUGUAUGUAUAUCUAUGGUGUGCCUGAGAUGCUCCAGUUUGGCAUGCACUACGAAUUUUGUGCCUAGGAUGGUCCACUGACUCAAAUAUUUGUGCUUGGGGUGACUAGAAAUGAUCAUGUCAUGUAUAACUUGAUAUGUAUGCCUGGGAUGCUCGAGUUUGACAAGUACGCAAAGAAGUUCUGC